GAUGAAGAACGUAGCGAAAUGCGUUAAGUAGUGUGAAUUGCAGAAUUCAGUGAAUCAUCGAAUCUUUGAACGCACAUUGCGCCUUCUAGUAUUCUGGGAGGCAUGCCUGUUUGAGCGUCAUUAAACCUCUCUCAAGUAUGAUUACUUGGAUGUGAAGGAAGAGUACCUUAAACUUAAGGAGUGUUCUCCUUUGAAAUUGAUUAGCAGAUGGUAAUGUUAUUAAAUCCCUGAUGUUGUAAGAAAUAACAGUGGUUUUGUAGACUAUUAUCUAGCUUUAAAUUAUAAUUUUUAUUAUGGUUGACCUCAAAUCAGGUAAGGAUACCCGCUGAACUUAAGCAUAUCAAUAAGCGGAGGA
rnacentral:misc_RNA from 1 species